AUUGAACGCUGGCGGCAGGCCUAACACAUGCAAGUCGAACGAGUGGCGGACGGGUGAGUAAUGUCUGGGAAACUGCCCGAUGGAGGGGGAUAACUACUGGAAACGGUAGCUAAUACCGCAUACCAUCAGAUGUGCCCAGAUGGGAUUAGCUAGUUGGUGGGGUAACGGCUCACCAAGGCGACGAUCCCUAGCUGGUCUGAGAGGAUGACCAGCAACGCUAGGACUGAGACACGGUCCAGACACCUACGGGAGGCAGCGGUGGAGAAUAUUGCACAAUAGGCGCAAGCCUGAUGCAGCCGUUACGCGUGUAUGAAGAAGGCCUUCGGGUUGUAAAGUACUUUCAGCGGGGAGGCGUUACCAGCAGAAGAAGCACCGGCUGACUCCGUGCCAGCGGCCGCGGUAAUUC
rnacentral:rRNA from 1 species